CCUACGGGUGGCAGCAGUAGGGAAUAUUGCUCAAUGGGGGAAACCCUGAAGCAGCAACGCCGCGUGGAGGAUGAAGGUUUUCGGAUUGUAAACUCCUUUUGUUAGAGAAGAUAAUGACGGUCUCUAACGAAUAAGCACCGGCUAACUCGUGGCAGGAGUCCGCGGUAAUACGAAGGGUGCAACCGUGACACGGAAUAACGGGGCUUAAAGGGCGCGUAGACGGGAUAGCAAGUCAGAUGUGAAAUCUUAUGGCUUAACCAUAGAACUGCAUUUGAAACUGUUAUUCUUGAGUAUGGAAGAGGUAGGUGGAAUUCUUGGUGUAGGGGUAAAAUCCGUAGAGAUCAAGAGGAAUACUCAUUGCGAAGGCGACCUGCUAGAACAUAACUGACGCUGAUGCGCGAAAGCGUGGGGAGCAAACAGGAUUAGAUACCCUGGUAGUC
rnacentral:rRNA from 1 species